rnacentral:lncRNA from 1 species
AGUCUCUCUAUCCAUUUUUUUUUUUCUUUUUCUUGAGAGGUGUAACAAUCGAGACAAAUUGAUAAGAAAAUGAAGAAACAAACGAGCUGAAGACAGUUACAGGAGAGAGCAGAGCCAAACACUCUCAGGAUCUCAUGAGCAGAUGCACUGCUACACUGCUUUAAGACACUUUUAUCUUCUCUAGUCUCUCAUCAUGUUGUGGGGCAGUUUACUUCUGUUGAAGACAUUAGCAACUGAACAGCAGAGGUUUUUUUUUCUUUUUUCUUGUAGAGGUGUAACAAUCGAGACAAUUGAUAGAAAUGAAGACAAACGAGCUGAAGACAGUUACAGGAGAGAGCAGAGCCAAACACUCUCAGGAUCUCAUGAGCAGAUGCACUGCUACACUGCUUUAAGACACUUUUAUCUUCUCUAGUCUCUCAUCAUGUUGUGGGGCAGUUUACUUCUGUUGAAGACAUUAGCACUGAACAGCAGAGGAAGCUGUGGCUAACUGGAGCUAAAAGCUGUCAAGUUAACAUGUGACAUGAGCAAAAAGAAAAAAAAAAGAAGCUAGAUGUUCACACGUAUCAACACUAAUAGAUGUGCAGAUAUUUUAGCUGACAGUAGAGUUUCUCAUGACUGUACAGUUCAGCCUCUCAUCAGCUCAUCUGUCAUUUUAAUCCUGGACCUGUUUUGAAGAGUUUGUCUUCUCUUAUUUGUGGACUGAAACCGUUGAAGAUGUUUGACAGAUUUUGGUUCUGUUUGUGUUUGUGGCGUCUGGUAGGUGUGUUUGGAGAUACAGACACAGUGAAGCCAGUGUCAGUGCAGGAGGGAGAUUCAGACUCUCUACAGAUUAAUAACACUGAAAUACAGACAGUCAUUGUAUUUCUGAUAGUGCUGAUCUCUGCUGCUGCUGCUGGAUCUCUGGUGAUUGUGGUUGUAAUUGUGAUGUAUUGUAUCAAGAGGAAACACAGACACUCAGUUCCUGAAGAUGAGAAUCAAGCCGCUGUAAAACUCUACAAACACACUGGACUGAUGACGGAAUCUGACAUGACUGAAGUGAUUUACACGUGUUUCAUCAAAGAACAAUGAUCAAACUCUCUGUGAUUCUGUUUUCCUCACAAAUAAUGUUCUUCUGUUCAUAACUGCAUCUGGCUUUAAACUCUAUUACUGUUUCAAAUACAAUUGAAGAUAUUUGUUUUAUCAGAAUAUUUUCAAGUGAUUUUUGAUAGGCUUGUGAUCCUGAUUGAUAGAUACUGCAGAUAAACAAAGAUUGCUUUGCUUACACUGGAUUAUUUUUUUUUCUGUCUGUCUGCCUUCAUCAAUGAAGUUUUCUCACUCUGAUGUUCAAGAGUCUCUCCAUUUUUAUUACAUGUUGAGUGUCUCCUGGAGAAAUACAAACUAUCUAUACAUUUGAACUGAAAUGUGUGUUAGCAAGUCAAGUCAAGUCAAGUCAACUCACCUUUAUUUAUAUAGCGCUUUAAACAAAAAAAGAUUGCGUCAAAGCAACUAAACAACAUUAAUUAGCAAAACAGUGUGUCAGUAAUGCAAAAUGACAGAUAAUCGCUGUAAAUGAAGUGUCCCCAACUAAGCAAGCCAGAGGCGACAGCGGCAAG